GGAGAAGCAGGGCACGUGCA
rnacentral:siRNA from 1 species